ensembl:lncRNA
GUUUAUUUACAUAUUCAAUAACUCUUCAUUAUUUUUAUCAUUUAGGUGAAACAUUGGUGAAUUUGAUUGUAGUUCUGAUACAACACAAUCUGAUGUAAAUUAUAUAGGUGAACUGAGAAAUGUCCAUGAACAACUCUGAGUUGUUCACACGAACACACACACUCACAUACACACAGACUGGUCUACAGCUACAAGCAGAGUCUACACUGGGGCGCCGCACAUCUACAGAGAGGUCCUGGGUUCCUUUACUAAUCCUAGUCCUUACGAUUCUGCCAUGAGAUGGAGAAGGCAGCCUCCAACCGAGAAGAUGGAGGCGAAGGAAAGCGCCGGUUCUGGACAAUGUUUACAGGGGCGCGGAAAGACCAACUCCACAACAUCAUGCCACGCUGAUUGGGUCCAUACCAGGUACAACUCAUCUGCUGUCCAGGUAGCUGAGAGAGGAACUUGGGGUUGAUGACACACGCUACAGGAGGGCUUCAAAGAUUAAAGGAGAACACACAGAUUCUCCUGGCCUGGCUGAUAAAGCAGCUAGAACGAAGACAACAGCUGCAUUGGAGCUAUGAAGGACAACACCUUAGAAUAUACAUCUGACUUUUACGUUCUGUUACACCGGCAAAGAAAUGGUUCACAACUGACUAUCUGACAUUUGGAGGAGCAGAACAUUUGGAAGUACAUCUAAUUGGAGCCCGGAGAGAGACUGAGUACUCAUUUGACCAUGCGGUGAACAAUAAGUAGGUUUUGAUUGAUAUAAUGAUGAAUUUGGAUUAGACACUGCAGAACCAGAAAACCUUUGUCUCUCUUUCUGGUAGGUUAAAAGAUUCAACCUUCUAGGAAUCUCCUUGAAAUUUUCCCCCUUCAUCAGUAGAACAAAAUGGAGAACAAAAGAGGAACAGUUGUUGUUAAGACAGGCACCUUUAGCACCUUGGAUGAAAGAUGAUGAGUCAGAUAGCGAGGUCAGAGAAGAAAAUCUCUUGUAUAAAUCAUGAUGUAUUCUAUUUUUUUAAACUUGUUUACAUUCCUUUCCAGCAAUCUACCAUGAAGAUUUUUUUACAACUGGUCUACAACAAUUGAUGUUUACAUUUGUCAUAUUUCUGUUUAGAUACCUUGACCAGAGCAUAAAUGGUUAUCUUCACCCAAGAGACCUACUGUUGGUCAAUCGUUUUGGCUUUAAAGAACCAGGUUUCUUCCCAGUAAUCCAGACUCCACUUCACAGAGCCAAGAGUUUGAGUACAACUCGUCAAGUACUAAGCUUUACACCCCCAGCAGCAAAUUUACCCUGGCAGCAUAUGGGUGAAAACGCUGGAGGAGAAAGUCAUCGCUUUGUUAUUUGCCCUUGGACGCCCCUGGCAUCUCUUGUACAGCACAAAGUUUUCAGCUAUGAAGAUUUCCAGAGACUCCAGAAUGAAAACCAAGCUCUGAGGGAGGAGAACCAAGCCCUGAGGGAAUGCAAUGCACAAGCAGGUGCGUAACGCGUUACCUGAAAGGAGCAUCUGACCGUGAAGGCAGAAAAAGGCGCCCCACAGCUGACCCCUUAAACCUAGGCUGACUACUGACACCCCAGCAUCACUGACAACUGGAACACUUUCUUUAUCCUGCAGUCAGUAACAUCAAGAAGCCAGAAGUGCCAGACUACACUCACC